rnacentral:ribozyme from 10 species
AGUUCAAUGCGAAAGCUCACUGAGGAACUUGAUGCUCAGAUACUUUCACGACGGGGAAAGUCUGAGAAUGUUGAGGGCCGCUCCACCUCCGGCCCUCCCACGAACAGGCAGGCAAGCUGGGACGACAGUCCGGCAAAGGGCGAAGAUGCAAGGUGGUGGCAGCAAGAAGCAGAGGCAUGCAGAGAUACGCUUGAGGUGCGAACUCGCCUGUGGGAGGCCAGACAGCAGGACUUGCUU